GACAGAGGAGCCAAGCGUUGUCCGGAUUGACUGGGCGUAAAGCGCACGCAGGCGGCCUGGCGCGUGGGGUGUGAAAGGUAGCGGCUUAACUGCUACACGCCAUCCCAUACGGCCGGGCUCGAGCCAUGCAGACGGUCCACGGAAUUGCCGGUGUAGUGGUGAAAUGCGUAGAGAAUCGGCAGGAACACCAGGGGGAAACCAGUGGAC
rnacentral:rRNA from 1 species